rnacentral:tRNA from 1 species
GGCGGAAUGGUAGUUCUCUACGGACUUAAAAUCCGUUGACCGUAAAAGGUCGUGUGGGGUUCAAGUCCCCCCACCCCCC